AAAUCGGUCUUUUUCAAGACCACUGAAAAACCAUUGGUUCUUUUCAU
rfam:Harpegnathos saltator strain R22 G/1 HarSal_1.0_1.contig1335, whole genome shotgun sequence.